ACUCGGCAGCUCAGUUGUUGGAGCACGAGACUCUUAACCUCAGGGUUGUGGGUUCGAACCCCACAUUGGGUA